AAAUUCAAGUUGUGUAAUAAAGAGAAGAUAUUAUGAAGGUAGUGGAUCUCGACAGGGUUGAUAUGAGAACACAUUUGCAAUCAACGGCUGUAAUGACGAUCAUGUAAUUGUUACAUCUCUCGUUUUCAUGUGUUCUCAGGUCACCCCUGCUGAGCUCUUUCUCUACCGUUUUCAAGUAAUAACGCCGUGGCUUUAUUCAUAUACCCAAUGGUAAGUUUCUAUGUAAUUUCGAAACCUGUAGUAUUAUUACAAAUGAAAUAACAAAUAAAAACAUUGUAAUUCUUAGUAAACUUACGUACCUACGUGUGAUAUAUGCUAUGACUAUGAAUGGGGAACGAGCUAUUUAAUUGUCUUGCUCUUGCUCUUUGUCCUUUAACAAGAUCGACUGCCAAAGAAACAGAGGAAGCAAGAAACCCACAAUGAGCUCAUUAAUAUGUUUGUGAUGUUAAUUUCUUAAUUUAACCGAUGACUGAGAAGAAAGGUUUACUUCGCGGAGGAGGCGGAGAGCGGCAGGACGAGUGAACUU
rnacentral:lncRNA from 1 species